CUUGUAGAGAAGUACUCUUGAGAGCAUGGCCUCUUCACAGUGGCAGCAGAGUAGGACUCAGCAUGUUAGUUAGCCACACAUUAUAAAGGAAUACCUUUUGGGGUCAGAGCCUCUUCCCAGAUCACUGCAGUAGGCCUGGGGACCAGCAUUCACAGAGGGGUUUGUCAUACCUGUGAACUUGCAUUCUAACUUGAUGUAAAUGAACUCUAUGUAAAUGAACCCAGGAGGAAGAAGAGCCUCAAAAGUUUUCCCAUUCUGAGUAGUAUGGAGUGAACCAUCUCAGCCUGGAGCUCUUUCCUGGUGCGGGACAGGGUGCAAGCUGCAGGCUGCCCUCUCUGUCCCCUCUUCAGGUGCUUCUGAAAUACAGAUCUGAGAAGGCAAAGCUAGCAGGAAAGGAAGAGGGAUAAGGACCAUGGGACAAGGAGGGACUGCACUCAGCACAGCCUGCAUCCUCUGUAUCUGCACAGAAAUCACUGCAGAGCAUAUCCAAAAGGCCAAGCCCAAGGAAGCUGUACCAGUGGGAACAUCCAGAACCCAACGUGACCGCAGUCUGCAGAGAUGCUGCAGAGGAAGGAGGAUGCACAUGCGAGCAAAGGGAUUUCUUGCCUCCAUAACCAGCAAGAGAAUGUCAGCUUGUGCCAAUUCGAGCUAGAGACCAACGGACACAUGAGACCUGCACCAUUUCUUGUGGGAACACACAGCUGACUCCUUCCUGCCAUCUAGGAGUGGACAUGGCCUGCUUCUGAACAAAGGUUCUCGACAAAGGUGGAGACUGAGUGCCUUGCAUGUCACCUACCCUACCGGGCUGGGCUGGCCAGCAUGGCAGCAAAUUGCAUUUCUGCUCCAAGAGACGUAGAAGAUGAUUGCCAGGGAGACCUGCUCUCCACAGCCCUACAGCAAUUCCUCUGGAGGCCUCCUCUCCAAACGGGGGAUCGUUUCAUAAGGGAUCGAUGGUGAU
ensembl:lncRNA